rnacentral:rRNA from 1 species
AUUGAACGCUGGCGGCAUGCCUUACACAUGCAAGUCGAACGGUAACAGGUCUUCGGAUGCUGACGAGUGGCGAACGGGUGAGUAAUACAUCGGAACGUGCCCGAUCGUGGGGGAUAACGGAGCGAAAGCUUUGCUAAUACCGCAUACGAUCUACGGAUGAAAGCAGGGGACCGCAAGGCCUUACGCGGACGGAGCGGCCG